AGGAAAACACAUGAAGAAAUUAAGUAAUUGUUUAACAGUAUAUUAUGAUUUUUAAAAAUAAGGUUGCGAGCAUAAUGGCAUCUCAUUUGUUUCAAGUCAAUGUCUAUGUAACAUGUACCUCCAGCAAAGACCCCCCCACAGAUGGGCAGUGUGCUCUCUGGAGGAGGACUUAAAAUAACGAUUCACACUCCAAGAUGUGAAUCGUUAUGGCCAGUGUCCUUCAUAGUGCACCAUCAUUUGUGAGUGAAUUCAAAGAAUUCAUAUAUCUACAGAAAGUGAGUGAUUAAUAGCCUUUACACAGGGCAGUGAAGGAUUUUGUCCAAAGUCAAACCUAUAAAAUGUAAUACCAGAAAAGUAAUCAUUCAUUCUGAUGUUUUCCCACCUUCCUUCAACAGGAGCCCUGAAAAUUGAGCUGCUGUAUAUUGAAGUUAACUUCAUUGUAAUUUUAUUCAAAUAUGAAACACCUAUAUGUGCUUUUGUUCCUUGCUAUAGAAACACAGUUCUGUAAGUGAAGUUUAAUUCUCAGGUGCAGUUGAAAAAUUAUAAGAAUGUAGUGGUAAAAUGUUUCCUUCCCUAUGGUUUCUGAUGGCAAGGCUGGAAAUUGAAUGGCUAGUUCACUGAGAGAUCCUGGGACAUCUGACAAAAAGCCAUCAGAAGAGAGAAAAAAGAUAUUUGGAUCUGUUAGUAAUCAUAUCCUUUGACAAAUUAAAAAUAAUUGUGCUAUAAAAAGGCAUAUAUAUCUAAAAAUUAUAUAUUUGUAUAAUUAUAUAUUCAUAAAUUUACUAAUUUAAUACAGGAUGCUAAUAUAUGACAGUUUACAAUUGCUUCCUAAUUUUCACUGGAAAAUAAAGUUACUAAUGGUUAAAAUUUAUAAUCUGUAUAUAAAAAUACAACUACUAAAAAUGAUAACAGAAAAGGAAAAUAACUUGGUAUACAAACUAUGGGAGGAGAAUGGGAUGUGUUUUAUAUGAAGAAUAUAUAAGGAAUAUAGAGGAUAAUGUUUGGUAAGGAAAAAAGAGUAAUUUUGUCCUAAAGAAAAAUGACUAAAUGUUCCAGAAUGAGAAAAAGAAUAGGAAUGAGACAAAAUCUAACUGGAUAAAGAAAAUUGCAGAAUAUUUGUAGAAAAUAAAUUUUAUGUUGCAAGGUCAAAGCUGGCUAAAUGAGCUCAAUAAUGUACUGACAUAAAACUAGAGUUUAAUUUUCUAUUAAAAUGACAGUUUCUUAGAUUAUUGGUCUACUCUCAAUAAGAGAUUAUAAAAGUUUUCUGUUACCUUUUGUGUGAUCUACCAGGGAAACAAAGAUUCUGUCUUAUCAAAAUAAUUUCCUGUGCUUCAUAUUGUCUUUAACAGGUUUUUAAUAACUGAGGAAAACGGAGUCUUUGAUAUUAAUGAAGCUGAGGGUUUUUUAAAUAACUAUAUAACUCUCUGUAUUUGCCUUUAAAAUCUUUUGUCACUUUGAUUAAUUAGAUGGAUAACUAAGUAUUGUUUCACAGUGACCUAUAUGAUACUGCUUGUUUCACAGUGACCUUAAAUUGAUUUAAGUUAUUACUUAAUCAAGUGUUUUAACCUUUUGACAUUUUUGACAAAGUUCCCAAAAUCAAAUUCAAAAUGAAGUCUUUUGACUUUGAACUAACUUUGGCAUUUUCCAGAGGGUUCCUGAAAAUCUCAAAAGAUUUGUUCUCUUUCCUUAUAAAAUGAGAGAUGUUAAAUUUAUUAGCUUAUUUGAUUUGUUAAAUUACAUGGGAAACAUUGUCAAAUGAAAGUCAUGAUUAACUUUCUUUAGGCUAUAUUUGUAUGUGUAUAUGUUAUCAACAUUUUAAAUAUUGUACAAAAUUCCUAGAAAUUGUCAAUGCCCAAUUGUCCAUAUAAUCUGUCAUAAUUCCAAUUGUUAUUUGAAAGCAUUGUAUGUCACAGAAAUAAUCAAAUAUCCUUAUGAAUUAUAUUGUAUUUUACACUUAAUUUCCCCAGAUCUUUAACCUUGGCUAUUUUUAAGUUUUUUGUCAUUCAUGAGCAAUUACUGUUUUACUCUUGGUUCUUCUCUGGAAACUUUUACAACCAACUAUAGGCAAAAAUGCUUCAUCUUCAAGGAUCCAUGGAAAAGAACAUGACAAGUACUCUAUAAUAUAGGUUUCUGAUCAUUCUAAGAUCACAUCACUAAACUGGAGAAGAAUUUCUAGAAUUCUAAUAAAGAAACUGAUUGAUUCAUAAAACUGGUAACCUGAGAUCAAGCAAACAAAAAGUAGUUAGGUGGGACUGAAUGAACUGAUAAGGAGGAUGAUUAUAAUUUUAUGGCUUUUUGUUUAAAGCACUACUGGUCCUUUAAAGUUUUGUUUUGCAGAUUUAAGAAAACUCUUUUUCUCCUUCUCUUAAGCUAUGUGUAACUUACAACAAGUUGAUAGAUUAUACUUUGGUAAAUAAAAAUUAAAACAUCUUUUUCUCUCUUCCUGAUCCCUCCAGAAUUUGGAAACUAUUAAUAUUCUCUUUCAGGGCGGUACAGUUGUUUGCAUAAGUACAGGAAGAAUCUGUUCUCUUUAGAACAAAACUGGAAACAUUGGUUAUAUUAUCAAGACUUUGACUGUAAUGUCAUAUUUGGCAAUGAUGUACAUAGACUCAAAUGUGACUGGACAGAUUUAAGUAACUAAAGUUGAAUUUAUGGAGCCAGUUAUAAAACCCCUUGAAAUACCAGUAUGAUACCUUGCUUACAAGGUUCCCAGCCCUACAAAUGAGUAAGGCAUGAUACUUCCUGGAAAGCCCAAGAAACUUAAGAUAUAUUGAGUACCUCCAGAAAAGAGGGGCUCACCCAAAUCUAUGGGUGUGACAGGCUAAGUCUGAUGAUAAAUAUUUGACUUGGCUUCUUAGCCUUGAAAGAGUUUUAAAGGCUCUAUCUAUGAUUCCUUGUUUGAAGUUCUAACAAUGCGAUUUUAAAAGCACCUUAUGAUCUAUCACUAGUCUUACAAAAUAACAUAUAAAUAAUCAGGCCAAGUUUAAUGAGACUAAACUUCUUUUACAAACAAAAUAGUCUUACUGUAAUUAUAUUUAAUAAAAAUGGAUUUGAUCCUAGACAGAAAAAUAUAUUUCAAUGAAAAACUAUAACCCACUCUUCUGAUUAUUAGAUUCUAGCUGUUGUUCAUUGUCUUUGGGGUUUUGCUACCUGUAAAUCGGUCCAGAUACUGAAUUCUUCUGGUGUCCCCCAGUAUAUGGCUGUAACUCUCCUAACUAACAUUUCCAAUUCUUCUCCCACCCUUCUCACUUGAAAUCACUAAGGACUAAAACUAUCCUUUUGCCCAAGUCCUACAAACUAAAGCUAGGUGACUUAAUAUAAAUAUCAGAAAAAUCACUACAACAGAUUAUAUGUAAACAGCCUUCAUGGCUACUGCUGUGUGGGCCACUCAGAAAUUUCACAACACCCAAUGCCAUAACCGAGACAUUCAAGCUACAAACCAGGGAAUUCAUCAGAUUAUAGCUGCCAUCAUUCUACCACCUAAAGAAGCUCCUAGAAGUCUCCUCAACUGGCUGUCCUCUGGACUCAGAAAUGAAGUUUCCAAUGACCACUCCCAUCACACAGAGACCUAACUUAGCUGAAAAGCUACUCCCACCUAUGCCAGUGCCACCUGAACUAACACACAACUGUGUAAAUGAAUUGAUUAAUACUCAAGCCUAAGAGACUAAGAGAAAUAGAAUAAUCUGCCAACUCAGAUUAUAGACUGCAGGUCUUUUGAGAAUCAUAUAAGGUGGUAGAUCAUAUAAGGCAGAUCAUAUAAGGUGGUAGAAUAUGCCACUUGGCACAAGGAUUACUUUGAGCUAAAGGUACUUAAAAAACAGCAGAUGAAAGAAGAGUAUUCUAAUCGCCCCUGUUUUUCCUGAAAACAGGAGAUAAAAACUCCCAUAUGAGAGAUGCUCUCUCUAUGCCAUAAGAAGGGAAAUUUGUCAAUGGGGAAUCAAAGCCAAGAGAAUCCUAUAUAAAUAGACCUUGUUAAAACAAUUCUGGUAUUCCUUUAGCUUCUGCAUCUAGCUUAGUUACGUUUCCACAAUUGUCCUUCUUUGUUCAACCUAAUAUGAAAUAUAUAAAAGUUUAGCCAUUUCUUUAGGUAUUCAUUUUCUUAGGAGCACUCCUGUGUCAUUUAAAACAUUUAAAUGUGUACACUUUUCUCCUAUUGUUUUAUGUCAGUUUAAUUUUCAGAUGCAGCUGAAAAGCCCUAAGAAGGUAGAGGUAAAAUUUUGCCUCCCCUACAUUCUCAACUAUCUCCUCUAGACCCUGUUUAUUGAUAAAAGUGUCCUGAUGUUACCUAGCUCCCAGGUGUUGGGAAGAAGAGGAACGUAUUUGUAACAUUCUUUAAAUACAAUCUGUUCUAUUUUCCAAGCGUCAUUGUGUAAAGAAGAAACCACCUUACUGGCGAAUAUCUGUCCACAUCUGAUUAGACGGUCAUUUGGGCUUUCAUUUGUGGGUGGCUUUGUCAUUGCUUGGACCUCAUUUUUGGGCAGCAGUAACUCAAUAGAACCCUGAGACAUGGAGAUUAUUCUUUUCUCUGUCUCAUUUUUUUUCUUUUUCUUUCUUUUUUAGGGGAUUUACUCCGUUUGUAUACAUAAGUCAGAACAGAGCUGAUGUGCAUGCCCAGAAAGAAUCGCUAGUUAAUCUAGGUGUUAGAUGAUAUUCUACCAUCAUAGCAUGUCCAAGGGGUAAGCCACAGAUUCUCAUUUGCCUAUUUCUUUCAAUGUGGGUGGUGUGUUUUGAGAACUGUGCCUAAAGUCUCUAAGAUCAGUACCAGCACAAUCUAGAGUGUUUAGGGAAAGGCCUCUUUGCAGAAAUACUUCCAAAUAAAGGCCCUAAACUGGCAGUACUUCAGGCAGCAGACCACACCUGUGUGUGAAAGAAUUGCCAGUAUAUACAAACUAUGACUCUUUAAGGAAAUAAAACUUGUAUCUGACUCAGUCCCUAAUCUCAUAUUCUUCAGAACGGAGAACAGUGCACAGAUUACAGUUUCUAAAUAAACAAAGCCAUUAUUCUGUUAUGAUACAUACUAGAAGAUAUUUUUUUACAAAAAAAUUCUACAGGUUAUUCUUUUAGAUGUCAGUUUUUUCUAGUGAAUUAGGCAAUGAUUGGCUUGUUAGGGACCAAGAACAGGCCACCCCAAAAUGUGCCAUUUUCAUAUAUUGAUUAUUUUGAAUUAAAAGUUACUUAAGAAACAGCCAAUGCAAAAAGAACACUUAAACCCCUUUGUCUCCAGAAAGAAGGAAAUAAAUCUCCCAGGUGAAAGGGGCCCUCCCUGCACCAGGAAGUGAGAAGACCUCCUUACAGUUAGAGAAAGAAUUCAGAUCAGAGUAGGCUAUAUAAACAAACUUCGUUACUUUUCACUGUCUACAAAAAGAUGACUAAAGUCAUCUUGAAAUAAACAGUUUUAUUUGAUCUAAAACAGAGGACUUAAGUCCAGCAGACAUGACUUCUAUAGAUAGGAGUGUUCCUGGGGGCUACAGUCAUAUGAAGGUUUUAUAUCCCCGAGGAAGUGGGCAAGAAAGAUGUAACUUCAAAGGGGUACAUUUCAUUUAUGUAACGAUAUGCAAAGCCAAAAAUAGGGUUGGGGUCAAAUAUAUCCUGGCAACAAAGGGAAUUAGGGGAAGGGCAAAUAUUCUUGCUUAUCUUAUUGAGGCUGAGCAGCCAAUUCCUGACUGACUGCAUUUCUGGGUGAAGUGAAACACAGUUAGGUAAGGUAUUAAGCCCUAAUUUGAUGUCUUGGCCUAGCAGAAGUGACCCUACGUUGGGCUUAUGGCUUUUUUUUUUUUUAACAAUUCCCACCUCAGGCUAACUGAGAGAUGUGAUCAAAAUGUAAGGCAGUAAGUAGUGCCACUCAGCUACUGGUCUUUAGGUCCCCCAGCUUUUGUUGAUCUUUUGUGUGGUAUUUACAGGUUAUGACUUUUUUUUUAAGGUAUCAUUGAUACAAAUCUUAUGCUCAGUUUCACAUGAGCAACACUGUGGUUACUACAUUCCCCCUAUUACCAAGUCCCCACCACAUACUCCACUACAGUCACUGUCCAUUAACACAGUAAGAUGCUAUGGAGUCACUACUUGUAGGUCAUGACUGUUUUUAAAAUCUCUGAGCUACUCUCAGCAUGACUCCAGGCUCACAGUCAUUCAUUCUCUUCACUUCUUUUUCUACUUCACUUCUGUUCCAACUUCACUUCUCUUCCUAUGCUCCAGUCUCAGGGAGAUCAUCUACUUGGUAGUUAGCAGCAGCUUAAUGCAAUUAAGGCUUUUGAGAGGAUAUAACAUGCCAGGGAAAUUAUUUUGAUAACUGUAAGCAGGAUAAUUCCUAGUGUUUGGAGUGCACUAUGGAGCCAAGUGGUCAUCUCUUGAAGCCAAAUGGCUGGCUCAGUGAUCUUAUGUUUCAGUCUCAGACUUGAGUUUCAGUCUCCCCAGAAGUGUUGAUUCAGGUACAUCAGGUGGCAUUGGCCAUGGUACAGACAAUGUCCUUGCUCAGCUAAAAGAUAAUCAAGGACCUUUCUGUUACCAAGGACAACUUUGAUGAGAGCGUCUAAGUAUCUCUGUUGAGGAGUUAGUGCUUCAGCAGCAGAUUCUAUAAAAAUCAGGAAUUGAGAAGUUCUUGAUAGCCUGAUCUACAUUUAUCCCUAACUUGGGUAGUAGGGACCUGCCAAAAAGGAACCAUGAAAGCCUGGUAGGUCCUUUCUAACUUGAUGAUGUAAAUUAAGGGGCACAGUUAGCUUUUUCUCAUAGUCUGAAAUAAAAGGUUGUUGUAAAUUUCAGAGAACAACCCCCUUAGCAAUGGCCUAGGAGAGACAGAUGAGGGCAUUAUCCUUUUAGGCCAAUGUCACAGUAAAGGAAAAGGCGAAAGUAUGAAGUCUUUAUGUGUUGCCUUGGGUUGAAGCAGUCUGUCUUGGUGUCAGCUACUUCUCUUCCUCAUUAGUUUGAUUUGGAAGUCUCCAGCCUCUACAUAGGACCAAGUCUCAGGUGGAGCCUUCUUUAGCUGUGAGGUGUGUAUCCUAGGCAUAAGUCCGGGGAGGGGAAAU